AUGGGGAGAAUGGGUUCGGCGGCGGCGGUGGCGGUGGCCGUGGUGGCGGUGCUGUGCGCGGCGGCGGUGGCGAGGGUGAGAGGGGAGGACACCGUGGACGAGGACACGCCCGGGGCGUCCUUCAUCUUCGGGGACUCGCUGGUCGACGCCGGGAACAACAACUACCUCUCCACGCUGUCCAAGGCCGACAUGAACCCCAACGGCAUCGACUUCGCCGCCUCCGGCGGGACGCCCACCGGCCGCUUCACCAACGGCAGGACCAUCGCCGACAUCAUAGGGGAGAUGCUGGGCCAGGCGGACUACUCGCCGCCGUUCCUGGCGCCGAACACGACGGGCGGCGCGCUGCUGAACGGCGUGAACUACGCGUCCGGCGGGGCCGGGAUCCUGAACGGCACGGGCCGGGUGUUCGUGAACCGGAUCGGCAUGGACGUGCAGGUGGACUACUUCAACAUCACGCGGCGGGAGCUGGACGGCCUGCUGGGCAAGGAGAAGGCGAGGGAGUUCAUCCACAAGAAGGCCAUCUUCUCCAUCACCGUCGGCUCCAACGACUUCCUCAACAACUACCUGAUGCCGGUGCUCUCCGCCGGCACGCGCGUGGCCGAGUCGCCCGACGGCUUCAUCGACGACCUCAUCAUCCACCUCCGGGAGCAGCUCACGCGGCUGCACGCGCUGGGGGCGCGCAAGUUCGUGGUGGCCAACGUGGGGCCGCUGGGAUGCAUCCCGUACCAGAAGACGCUGAACCGGGUCAAGGACGACGAGUGCGUGAAGCUGCCCAACACGCUCGCUGCGCAGUACAACGGCCGGCUGCGCGACCUGCUCAUCGAGCUCAACGCCGGCGGGCUGCCGGGGGGCAGGUUCCUGCUGGCCAACGUGUACGACCUGGUGAUGGAGCUCAUCGCCAACCACAGGAAGUACGGGUUCUCGACGGCCAGCGUGGCCUGCUGCGGCAACGGCGGCAGGUACGCCGGGAUCGUGCCGUGCGGGCCGACGUCCAGCAUGUGCGACGACCGGGAGAACCACGUGUUCUGGGACCCGUAUCAUCCCAGCGAGAAGGCCAACGUGCUGCUCGCCAAGUACAUCGUCGACGGCGACAGCAAGUACAUCUCCCCCAUGAACCUCAGGAAGCUCUUCAAGCUCUAG
rnacentral:rRNA from 1 species